rnacentral:tRNA from 1 species
GGGGAUGUAGCUCAGCUGGUCAGAGCGCUGUGUUCACAUCGCAGAGGUCUAGGGUUCGAGCCCCUACAUCCCCACCA